CAUGCUAGCAAUAUAUGCCAAGAAAAUAUGUUUAUUUGUUCCACUAAAACUCUUUAGCUUAUUGAUCUACUCACAUGUUAAAGUUGUUAAAGGCUACACAGAUAUAAAUGUGUACAUUUCAACUUUGGGGAAGGCAAACACAAAGGUACUUUUUUUUCUGAAAAAUGAAACUGAUUUCCACUGCACGUAGCUGAAAUACUCUGCUGAGAAUUCAGACUCUCAAGAAAAUGGAAAACAGGUGGAAAGAGACCUCCUGCUUUAGGUAAGAAAUAGAGCCAAUGAGGAACCUGAAGGUGAGGAUUUCUUGGCUGCUUGAACACAAUUGUAUGGUUUCAUGUCCCAUGCCUUGUGGUCACAUGUAGGAGGGAGAACAAAGUAGAAGCACUCUUAUGAAGGGAUGGCCCUGCAGUAAACAACCCUAGGGAACACCCGAAUCACUUUUGCCAUCCACCUUCACCACUAUCACUGACUUGAGCAAGAUCAGCUCAAACAUUCACAUGAUCUUCAGCCUACUGUGUAUUUGAAAAGAGGAUUUUAAGAAUCACACAUCAAUACAUGCAUCAAUAGAACUCACAUUAAUUUUAGGAAAAAAGUUUCGAUGACAUAUUUUUCUUUUGAUUUCUUAUUAGAGAUACAAGAUGAUUUAGUGCUAAAUAUGAAAUAUUGGUUUCAGUUUAAUUUACAAAAAAUAAUAUAUUUGUAAACUUACAAAGUGGAUAUUUGUACACUUGAUAUAGUUUUAAAAGUCAUUUCAUUAUUUCCUUCAUCAAAAUAUACAGAUGAAAGUUUCUUUUUGUAAAAUUUGUAACAGUUCAAUUUUUGUAACAAAAUAUUGUACUAUUGAAGCUAUGCUAUCUUAUAUUGACUUUUACAUUAAACAUCGAAUUAAGAUGUCUGUGCUAUCUAUGAUCAGAUUAGUACUCACUAGUUUCAGACAUACUGUAGAGAAGAUAAUAUAUUUAUCUUUCCUCUAGAGCAGAGGAAAGUAUUUAAUUAACUUCAUAUAGAUUAAUGAUGUGGCAAACAGUUGUUUGUUUCUGUUUGAUGGUGAUCCCAAGAAACCAUUAGAAGUCCAACUUUAGCUAUUAGUCACAAUUCAGUGGCAGCAGAGCUCCAGAAAAGCCAAAUGCAACACAUCCCUGUGCCAUACUGCACUGAAAAACUGAUGAAAUAUUAAUCUCUCAGGCUCCACAUGCAAAACACAACAGAAAAGAAAGUCAGAAUGAGAAAAAAGAACACAGCGGGGGUUCUGUAUAUUAGCAUCAACAAGCCACAUUUAAAGGCUAACACAAAAUGCAGCAACCCUAGCCCCACAUGUUUGUAAUUUUGAAACUCUUGUCAUAGCUAAGUAAUAGCAUGGCCACAGCAGGAUGCACCAAAAUUAAAGGUAAAAGCUCUCCUAAGGGGUGAAGAGAAGAGGUAAUGGUGCCAGAAUGGUCACAGAAAAAGCCAUUUAUCUUGAGAGUGAGAGAGAGAUCAAGGCAGAAGGACUAGAUUAAUUACAAAGAUCCAUUUAGUGCUAUUAUCUUUUUCCUUUGUGACAUCUGAAAGCCUUUGACUAUUAUCUACUGUUGCAGAAAUUUUCUCUGGUGUAGGCAUUUGGUCAUUCAUACAUGCACUGAUUCUUGCUGACACAGUAACAGACAGUGUUCUGCAAGUGACACCAGUCUCCUCAGCUCAAAGGCUGGCUUGAGUGAAAUACUUCAGGAAUUUAUGAGGUCUUCCCCAGUAACAAUAAGAAAAACAAAUACACAGACACAUUAAAAAAAAAAAAAAAAAAAAGGAAGACAUUUUUUGUCAAAAUGUUUUCAUAUGACAAAAAUGUUUAUGUCUAAGUUUCCUAAUGUUUCAGAUUUUGGUCUUGUAGCAAAAGAAAAUGAGGGGUGGAAUAAUAAUUUGCAUCUCAAUUAUCUCAUCCAAAUGUGCUCUGAUGCAAAAUAUUACAAGAGCAGGUUAGCACCAGUCUCACUUUGAUUUCACCAAUUCUGCAGUCUAGCAAUUGCAUCACCUUGGACCUAGAACGUCAGCAAAAGCCUAGAAAACACAAAAUGUCCUUAGUUUCAUUAGUUUCUUUAGUGGUUUUGAUAACUGCUGCAAAUCUAUGACAUGAAAUUAAUGGUUUUAUAUUAUGUUAUAAAUUUUUCCACACACCAGCCCUGCUGACUCCUCAGCAGUAAGUAGACUGUAUUACCCUUGUCUACCCUGUUCAGGCCAUCAUCUUCCUCCUUCUGACUUCCACAGUUCAGUCCAUAGGCCUUUUACUCACAUUAAGUAACAUAUUCUGAUCAGAUCUCUUUCAUUGUUCUCAGCUUGUACUCAGACUGCACAGGAGCUUAUGUAUGUAAAACACUUCAGCUUUUCCAAUAGUAUCAGGAUUUCCAGUAAGCAGUAACAUCCUCUAUCUCUGAAUCUGAAAUAAGUCGGUCUGGUUGAAGUUUCAUUUUCACACAAGGUUUAUUCAAACAGAUGGAUGCUGGCUUCUUAGAAAUAGAUCAGACCUUUACACCAGCAAAAAAAAUUCAUUGAGACAGAGAAAAUGAGAGAGUUUUGGCUGUAUUGUUGUUUGUUGUUGUUUUGUUUUUCACUAUCAAUUUUACUAAUCUAUAAUUUCUUCCUUAUAGCUUUGUUGUUCAUUUUGUUUUUUAAUAGACUAAGAUUUUCAAAUGUGCAAAAAGGAAACAAGACAGUUAAAUAACAGUGUUCCUUAUCUUUUCCAUUAUGUGCCAUCAUAUGGGAUUCCAGAGUGUAAUCCAGGGAAGGUCAGGGUAGAGGCAUACCACAGCUGGACAAGUAAUAUUUGAGGAGCAUCCUGGAGCGCUCAGUUAAAUUGAAGACUACAGUGAAAUCCCUCUUUUUCUCUGAUACCAGGCUCAAUCUUCCUGGUUCGUAAUCACUGAUUAUGAAGCCUUGCUGCAUCUCAAACUGGACUGAUUUUUGUGCCAAAUGCAUAAAUGAAAUGGGAGCUUUCAAAAGAGUGAAAGAGUAUCAACCACAGAUCAGCAAAACAAAAGAACAAAGAAACAACAACAAAAAAACCCAACAAACAUUACAUUCCCCUUUUCUCUAAAUUGAAACUCCUUUACAAAAGGUACACUGAAGGCCCUUGACAUUUGACCUCCACCCUGUUGGUCAACACUAAAACAUUUAGUUAUUAACCCAAAGCCUGGAGAUUUUUCAGGCCCCAGACUUUUUACUGAGCUGGCAGCACAGAGAUUAAUGAUUUGCACAGGCUCACCCCACGGUGCCUGGCAGCUGGGACACAGCCACCAUGGCCUUUACUUCCGACAGAGAUAAGGCCAGGGCUCUGGAAGACAACGAGAUGGGAGAGAGGGCAGACUCAAAAGGAGGCCAGCAUCCCUAGCUGCAAAUACAAAGGACAACCUAUCAUGAAAGGUGCUAAAACAGUGACUUAACCUGAAAAAGUUCCAGAAUGGGAGAUGAUAUUUUAUGUUAAACCAUGGCUCAUCCCAAGUUGUAUUCAGCUGAAGUCCCCCAGGAGCAGGAUGAUGGUAUCUUCUAAACUUGGAAUGUGCAUCAAGCACUAAUGAGCCAUAAUAAUACAUAUUUUGCAUAUUUUCCUUGGAUUUAUUUCUUAUGCAUGCCUGUAUACUUUAAAAUAAGAUGCUGAUAUGAAAAAUGAAUCCACAUUGAAGGUUCAAGACAUCCAUAUUAUUCACAGCACCUCUGUGCUGCUAAACUUUUCAGAAGAUAUCAGAAAUGAGAGAUGCCUUCUUGGACAUAUCUGUGAUAAGCUAAUGUCUAGAUCUAAAGUACCAUCAAAUAAAUAGUAUUGGUCAGAUGUCUAAAAUUCCAGCAUAACAAUAUAUAUGUGAAGCAGCUGUGCAAUGUUUGAUGUUAGCUAUGUACCAAAUUUAAUUAGAUAUUUCUAUUUCUAGAGUAAAAUUGAUAUAGACUGAGCAACUGGGAAGGAUUCUUUGUCAGUUAGAGCCUGGCUCUGCUUCUCAGCACACAAAGCAAGAAAACCAUCUGUGAAGGGCCUCUGAAACAUGGGAUCUAGCCAAAGAACAGCAGCUGGAGAUCAGGAAAUUGCUUGCCAUGGAAUACAGAGGCAACACUUGAAGACAUAGCUUUAAGUCUCAAAAUGUAAGAUAAAUUUAAGAAAGUGAAGGUCCGGACCAAAAAAAAAAAAAAAAAAAAAAAGCCUAAUUUUGCAGAGAUGGCAGACUAAGGUAUGGCAUACUCCUACUCAAAACAACUGUACAUUCUUUGACUUCUUCCUUCCUGAUGGCCAAGAUAAGAUUUAUUUAACAACUACAAAAAUAUAUGAAGACUGCUGUGGUUUAUCUUUUGACAGUUCAGCUGAGAUGUUCUGGACUAGGUGGAUGAAAGUUGGUCCCUAACAUUCUACUCUAAGUUUUAAAUUUACUGGAUAACCACAAGAAAAAACAACAGGUUAAUUUCACAUGCUUCAGUACCUUAAGAGCUUUUCUGUCUAUCUAGAAAUAUUCCUUUAUUUGUUUGAUUUAUAUAUUUGCAAAGUUCUUCUCCUUCGUUAAUUACAAAAGGCAACAAAGAGUAAAAGGAGAAAUCUUAAAAUAUACCUAAAUAAGAAAAGAUACAUAUCUUGGAAAAUAAGUAUAUCAGAUCAUAACAAUUUACUGAUUUUUUUUUUUUUUUAAUUUUUAAUCUGCAUAAUGUAAUGAAAUUAAAUCCUUUGCUUUUCUUGGCACAAGACCCAUUGGAAAAAAUCACGUUAUAUGUUGAAGUGUUCUUUUAUUUUUUUUACAAGAUAUGAAACGGGAAGGGUGGAGGGGGGAACAAAAUUUCUUCAGAGGGAAUAGCAGAGCUUAAAAACUAAAGCCAAACAAAAAAGAUUUCCAGACCAGCAACAUCCUCUGGCUGUUUGAUAAAAAGCCUGAACAGCUACACAAGGUCAAAAUAGCGUGGUAGGAAGGGAUUUACUUUUUCUGCACAUAAAAUUGGAUUUUUAAGUUCAAGGUCUAGAUUUCUUUCUUUUACAUCUGCAGUACCUCUGGCAAAGAAAACAACCUGUUCUCUUUCACAUUUUAUAUUUAUAUGACCAUGAACAUACUAUUACGUUUCAAUAAACUCGUGUUUACAAGCAGGUAGUAAAAUGUUGAGAAAAUCAUGCUAAUAACUGUACAGAUAUCAGGUUCUGUUUUAAAUCUUUAGUUAUUACAGCUUGCUGUGGAAACACAGCAGUUUAAGCACUGAGUAUUAAAGAGUUUGUGGAGUGCUAUAAAUUUCAGAUGCAUUUAUGUUAUAUGGUACUGUGCAAAUCAUAAUCUGAAAGUCAGUUUCAUUUGUGCAAUGUGUGCUUUAAUAGAAGAAAAACAGUUCAAGCAUGUGUGCUUUCCAUUUUUACAAGGAUCUUAAAAGAUUAUUUAAGUUGAAGGAAAAGCAGCUUCGAAUGAAAUUUGAGCUACUACCUGAAGAAAAGAUGGCAAGGAAUAACUGAAAUGAUAAAGCACUUAGUAAAAUUCUAACUUUCUCUGUUUUAUGAGCAAUUAAAAAUUUUCUCUAACAUUCCAUUGAGGGGCAGGGAAGACGACAAAAUUACCUUAUGAGCAAUUCUAUCAUGCAAAUCACUUAAUCUGAUUCCGUGUUAUGGUUUGAUUCCAGUCAGUUCUCAACUACUGAUUAUUUUGAUACAUAACUACAUUAACAAGCAGGACAGCUUUGUUCCUUGGGCUGCGUGGAAGUGGAGCAUCUUUCUUGGUUUGCCCACAAAUAAGGAAAAAACAGAAAGGGAAAAAAAAAAAAAAGGAAAAGGAAAAAGUGCAAAUGGGAAAAGAAGCAAACGCAGCGUAACAGUGCAAAGCUGUAACAGUCCUGGAGGAAACUCUCCAGAGAAAACAAACAAGUGGGCAGUACAGAAUGAGGGAACGCAAAACACCCUCAGUCACAGAGAUUUGAGAAGACAUAUUCUAUUCUAUUCUAUUCUAUUCUAUUCUAUUCUAUUCUAUUCUAUUCUAUUCUAUUCUAUUCUAUUCUAACCCCAACACAGGGUUCUGCUGACCUUAGGAGGCUGCAAAGCAUUAGCAGUUUGGGGGUGCCUGCCAUAGUUUAUAUUACUGUGUUGCUAAAGUUUACCAGAACUAAAUGCUGGCAAACAUAUCCAUCAUAACCGUACGCAAUGUUACUGUGAGCAAUUGCAGUUGUAUCUUGCAGUGCUCAUGUCAUUAAAAGACUGCUGCCAUAGGUACACAUUUACCUAAUCACAGUCACUUUCUUCCCAGGAUAAUGCCACUCUUGAGCAUCUUUUUGCAAAUUUCUACUUGUAUUGGAAGUUCUUCAGCUAGCAAUUUCAAGAAAAAAGAAACCUGUUUAUAUUCAUCAUCUUCAGUAAUUUGUAAAAGGACCUACUUUCACCUGGACCUUGAAUGUUGCCUUAGUUACAGAAGAUGGCCAAAAUAAGAGAAUCUAAAAUAAAAUAUAGGUUGGAAAACUUCAGAGGGAAGCUGAUUUAUUUCUUUUUAAAUAGUGUCUAUGUCUCUUAAAUAAGAAAGAAUAACACAGCACUCACAGUAGAGACCAGUCUGACUGUUAGGUCUGGAAUAGGACACAGAAAUAUUUAUUUUGUCCUGUACAAGACUUCUGGUGAUUGGGGAUUAAGAGAUAAAUUCUAUCCAAAUACACUGUAGAAGUUAAUACCCUCCCCACGUUCCUUGCCACAGCCUACCAUCAUCACAAGAGUCAGGAGAAACUGUUAGUAACAGAGAAUCUGAGCUAAGACAAUACACAUGUUGUCUCCUGCUAAUAUUGCUGGGAGGCAGCAAUCUCUUGAGAAAGAAUACAGAUCUGGGUUUUAAAACCUAAGCUACAAUAACAAGAGCUGCCAGUGGUUGUAAAUAGCAGCAAGUAAACAUAGUGAUUCAAGAGUCAUUCUGUACUAGUAAAUGAGUAUUAAAUACAUUAAAUACACUGUAUUAUAUGAAUAACUGUAUGUUAGUCUAAAUAUAUGGCAUUAAUUUAACAAAGGAUUAGUUCCCACGAGUAGAAAAGAAUGCAACACCUUCAGAUAACUACCUAUCUAGCAACACUUGAGAGGCAAUACAAGGAUUGACCUCUUGUUGAACUCACCAGCCCACGUCAAAGAGGAAAGUCAUAGAGAAAAUGGGAAGAACAAAGGAUCUGAAACUGUUUUAAAACUCUAAAAGCACUUACUCUUCAGAAAUUGCACUCAGAUAAAUAAGAUGCCUUAUUUUUUAUAAAGAAAUCAAAAUUCCUAGGUUCCAAGAAAAGGGGGAAAGACACAAGUAAAAUAAUUAUCAACAUAGUUAUUUCAUCUGUUAUAAGCUACACUUUGUGGACUGUGGUCCCGCUAUUAAACAGUACUUUGAAAAGCCCUCCUGAUCACCAUUUUUGUCACUGGUCACAAAGCAGCAGGAGUUUGAACUGAUCCAGGGAUUUCACAAAACAAAUUGUCAUGGGAAUUACAAGUGGAAUUGCAUUCCGCUUCAGAAUCGGAGAUAGCUCAGACCUGAUCCCUACUGAGGUGUGAUCAAAAAAGCAACACAAGAAAAUAUAUCCCUGUAGUCAAAAUGACAAGUCAAUAAAUACUGUUUUGAUAGUGCAUUCUUGUUAGUACUACAACAGUUAAAAUUGCUUGUCAGAACAUCCUGCACUACACAUGGUAACAUUCCUCAUGUUUGCUUUAACCUGAAGACUAGGGCUGGUCAUGGUCUUCAUACUAGAGUUAUCAUUGUUCUGUGUAUUCUGGGAGAUACAUAGAGUAUCACAUUUUUCCAUAAUGUACUUGGUACGUUGCUCUUUGAAAAUCAUCUAGAAAGCAUAAAACUAUUCCUGUGUUCUCAAGCAAAUGUAUCACUCCAGCAAUAGUAAAUAACACAACACAUAGCUCAGGGAAUUCAAUUUCAAUUGGAUUCAAUCUCCUAAUUAUUUUGCAUAAUUUCUUGAUGUGAAACUUCAAUACAAGUAGUCAGGGACCUUAAAAUCUUUGUAGUAAAUAGCAGGGUUAUAAGUCUCAUGUGGUUAUUUCUAGUGUUCUUAGAAAGAAAGAAAGAAAGAAAGAAAGAAAGAAAGAAAGAAAGAAAGAAAGAAAGAAAGAAAGAAAGAAAGAAAGAAAGAAAGAAAGAAAGAAAGAAAGAAAGAAAGAAAGAAACAUCACCAUGACAGGCGAGCUAAAGUAUUUGACAUAGCAUUAUAUCUGACCAAAAUCCAACCACAUUUCUAGCUACUGAUCAAGAAGAAAUUCUAUUCUCCUCUGCUUCACAGACAUAUAAUAUUUAUAAUAUAAUGAUAUAUAAUAGUCAUCAUCUAUUUUAGAUUGUUUUUAUAUGGGUAACAGAUAUUAGAAUGCAGCCACUACUUCAAUUCAAACUAAGUCAUGGUAUCUCUGCCUGCGGUAAAAUGCAACAUGCUUUAGGGUGCCAGGAGAGGAAUACCUAAAUUGAACAUUAGAUAUAACAGACUUUCAUAUCAUGUAAUUAAAAAUAUACUGUCAUUGUUUUUGGAGACGUUCUCCUGUUGGAUGCCUUUGUUUUAGAGUAUUUCUGGUAACUAACACACUGUGACAGACCAUGGAAACUAGGCCAAAAUUUUUAAAAAAAUUCUCAUCCAGAGGCUUGGUGUUUAAAGUGGCUAGGCUUGACAACAAAAAGACUCCUUACCAGACUGCAGAUAAACAAGAGCAGACUUAGAAAUGCUUUUUUCUUUUCUCUCAUCCAGCAGUGAUCUAACUCCCAGCACUCAGUGCACAGUAGAAACUCACUUUCUCCUUUCCCAGGAGAGACUUUGUUUUUUCUCUUUGUUCAACACAUGAAAAAAAAUAAAAAAUCAGGAAGAAAUUUCUUUUAGUUCUAUUUCAGCUGUGGUUGGUCCAGUAGGAAAAUUAACCAACACGCUUGUAAAAGCUGUAAAAACUCCCCUGAUCAACAUAGGGAAGUUAGGCUGUAGUCAUGCCUAUACCUAGCAUCAUUUCUGCUUAUCCAACGAGAGCUUAAUGCAAGAGGCAGUAGAAUGCAACAGGAAACAGAUUGCCUGUUUUCUAUAAGAAUUUUCCUCCUGCUAGGACAGCACAUGAAGCCAUGCCCUGGGCCUAGAGUUUGUGUUCUUCUGCUGUGCUGCAGCCCCCUGAGCCACUAUGUAACCUCAGUGUAAGUCACCAUUGUCCUUUUGCUUUUUUCAAGUGUAGUGAAUUUGGACAAUCAGAUACUCCUGACAAUACCCAGAACUCCUUCUUCUUCAAUCGUAACCUGAUCUGAGAAGUAUCAGAACAGUCUGGGAGUUCUGGAAGUGUAUGGUUGGGAGAAAAUUCCAGAAUUGCCUCACCUGAAAUAUGGCUAAAAUGCAAAGUUUUCUGACUAAAGUAAAUUAUCUCAAGGUCAAAUAAGGGUCCUAAGAAAAGAGCCCCUUACACUCUCAAAGCCCACAGUAGUCUAUGAUGUCUCCUUGAGCUGGGAUACAUCUGAGGGUAGGCUUUUUUUUGAGGCGCCUUUUGAAGUAGAAGAGUCCUUUAUAGGAUAAUAUCCCAUCAUCCACUGAGGGCCAAUGACGAGGGGGGAGAGUAGUUCACCAAAUGGGAGAAGUUCCUUGCAUGCAUGACUAAGUUUAGAAAUCUCCCCUUAGAAUAUCUUGUGUGUUAAGUUUCAGGUGAACCUUGCUAUUCUUAAAACUUUAAGUCACUGUAUUUGAUUGUAGUAAGCUCCAUUGAAUCAUUCUGUUAAAAUAGCUAUUGAUUGAGUUCUGAUUAAGUGCUACUAAGAAUCAUGCAAUUCUAACCCUGUGUCAUGGUUUUAUGAUUUUUGAUUACUGGUAUUCCACAUCAUAACAUCACAUAGUGCACUGGGAGUUAAAGAGUUAAUGUUCCAGUUCCAGGUGCCUGUCUGGAAGAGAAGAACUACAUACCCCAGGGGGCUUUGCAGUCAGAGAGGAGAUAUAACCUCUGGCAAGGUCACCUGAUGGCCCUUUUUUUUCCUUAGUCUCUCCUCCCUGUUGCUCAUCCUGACCGCGCACAUCACCUCAGCACAACUGUAAGGCCUACAGCUUUCAGAUACUCUCUCAUUAUAUUUGAUUUAUUUGCUUCAGUUCUAAUUAUAUUGUAUUAUAGUGUGUUAUCUUGCAUUCCAAUACCUUAUUUAGAAAAUUAGCUUGUUUCUUCUCAGAUCACUCAGAUCGUUGCUGCUGUUUUCAAUUAUUUUGGGGUCCCCUGUUUCCCUUUCCUGAAGGCAUGGAUUUUGCAAAAUCCCUCCACCCCACUAGUCACAGAACCGGGCUGAACCAGCCUGUAAACUGUUGACACCCUGUGAUAUACUGUAAAAGUAUUAAUAAACCCAAAAUCACUGCUAAAACUAGAAUUAUGUUCAAUCAAUCCACCACACCUGGAAAGCCAAAAUAUACAUACAUUUUAAAUUAAAUCCUUUGAGAAUGAAGAAAGAAUUGAACCUGGCUUUCAUUAUAUAAGAUACAGAUGAGUACAGUAGAAUUAUUCUAUUACAUUGCUUUGUGAAGAACCCAGAUGGAGAGGCGUAUACUCAUUAUUCUCUGAGAACACCAGUAGAUAGGCAUGGACUAUAGACAUGGAUAUGCUUUUCUCCUGGACCCCAGGUACCAAUAUUUCUUACCUGAAAAGAACCAAUGCUAUUCAGGAAACUUUUCAGUGAAACUGAGAUUGUGUGAUGAAGAGAUUGAAAGGUUUGGUCCAGGUUAGCAAUAGGGCACAAAUCCCUGUCACUCUUUGCCAUUCAUUGUAAGAGGAUGUUGAUCCAGCCAUGAACUGAAUGUCGAUCCAUUCUUGAAUAAGAGUGGGAAAAUUUUAAUAAACCACAGUUCAUUAAAAAUACUGACUCUCAUUACUAUGUUGGUGCUAUAAAGGUAUUAUCAAAUGAAAUAGUAACAAGAAACAUUAUUUCUCAUCAGAAUCAUUAGACUACAGAUUCUCUAGGCUUAGAUCAUAGAAUCAUAGGAUGAUUUGAGUUGAAAGAGACCUUAAAGACCAUCUUGUUUCAACCUUCUGCAAUGGCAAGGGACACCUUCCAGUAUAUCAGGUUACCCAAAGCCCCAUCCAGCCUAACCUUGAACACUCCCAGGGUUAAGGCAUUCACAGCCUCUGUAUGCAAACUGUUCCAGUGCCUCACCACCCUCAUAUUGAAGAAUUUCUUUCCAAUGUCUAAUCUAAAACUACUCUCCCUAGAUUAAAAGCUAUUCCCUCUUGUCCUAUCACUUAAUGCCUUUGUAAAGAGUUCUCUCUGGCUUUCUUGUAGUCCCCUGUUUUAGAUACUGGAAUGUCAUUAUCAGGUCUCCCCCAAGCCUUUUUUUCUCCAGGAUGAACAGCCCCAGCUCUCACCCUGUCUAGAUUUGAAUCCAAACCAUGUUACUAAGUCCCUGCCUAGAGGAGAACAGAUUUAGAUUUUUUUUCCCCAGGAAAUUAAAAAGAUUAACAGAGUUUCAGUCAUAAAUCUAGCCUCAUACUUGGUAACAGAACUAUAGGAUAUGUUUAAAGUGUUCAGAUUCAGAAAACUUAACAUACUCUUAAGCAAACUCCCAUCUUUAAAAAUAGAGUAAAUCUUUAACUGAUAUCUUCAUAAAUCUCACAUGUUCAUAUUUGUGUUUUUAUUUGGGAUUGAAAACACUGAUGAAACCAUAUAGAGCUCUAACUGAAAAUUACCACUUACCUUUGGCAGCAGGACUGCAUCUGCAGACUAUGCUGAAAUGCUGAUGUACAUGUCCCUGACUCAUCCCAUUUAAAAAUAAUACUGAGGGUUCUGGCAGAUGUCUUGUAGCAGCUUCCAGUGGUUAUUACAAUAUAAAGGUGAGCAACUGCCUAAACACAGAACCCAAUUGCUGACAGCUGAUAGGAAUAAUUGUUGGAGCAAAUCUUUGAAUAGUGGGUCUUAGAAUAUAAACUGUCGUGCCCAAUUUCACUGACUGACAGUUUUUAGUAUUUGAGUAGGUAAAGCACUGUGAAAAUUCUUCACUUCAUAAGCAUUUUGAAAGUGAUUUUUGACAUAUAAACUUUUGGCAGCAAUUUUCAAGGGGGUCAUCUAAAAUGACUGAUACAGUAGUUAGUGUGAUGCAGGCAUAGCACAUUUAACAGUCACUGAGCUUCGAAUAUGACACAGUAUGAUCCUAAUUACAGCACUGCUAGCAAGGCAUAAAGAAGUUGCUCAUAGUGCUUGACAUGUAUUUUAUGACUAUGAAAAAAGAAAGACUUCAACUAGUAAAAUUAGGACAGAGCACAAAGCUUUGCUACAUUUUACAGAUAAGAAAAUGACAUUUACUGGCAUGAAAAAGAUGUUGAAAAGGGAAAAUAAGGUAAAUCCCAACUUGGGUUGUUUUUGGGGAUUCUGAGUUAUAUAUAUUCUAAAUUAUGUAUAAUCUAUAUGUCACAAAUGUCACAAAAUAUUUACAGCAUAUUGCAGUUUAGGUUUUCCUACAUGCUAAGAAAUAUGGAAGUUGAAGCAACAAGAUUUGGAUUCUGGGGCCAGCUCCCAUGCCAAAAUUCAGUGGGGUGAGGAAUUGCUUCUGUUAGGUGUUCUCUUAUUAUAGCAAUGGACAUUAUUUAUAUCAAGAGUGACCUUGGCUCUAUGGUUUUAAUUCUGUUCCACUGAUGGCUUUUCACUUGAACUGCUCAAUUCACAUGGACCUGAUGAGUCAUUUUUGUGAAUACUUUUACAGCUACAAAAUGGCUAAUUAAAUAGCUGUGUAAAAUUCUUCCUGGAAAUAUUCUUUCUGAAGGGAAUCUAGUGAGCUUUCUUACUGUGUUUUGUACACGUAUGCAAAGGGUGAGAUCCAGAAAAAUUACCUUUGGCAUAAGACCUACAGAAAAUAUUUCAGAUCUGACCUUCUUUUCCCUGAAAAACAUCCCAAUCAGUUUUCUGCACCAUUUCUCUAUUUUUUAAAAUUGAUAGCACAUUUUCUUAUGUGCAAUUAAAUUUUAAAGGAUAAAUAUUUGUUUAGAACAGAUUUUCAGUUGUUUUCUUUUUCUCCUCUUGAAUUUACUAUUCAAGCCUCUGUCUUCUAUUGUCAUUUUUUCUUCUUCACCUUUUAGAAAAAGAAACAUUUUACAUCCCAGAUUCAUGAAUCCUUCUGAGGCAUGAUGUUUUAAAGCUGGGCUGGUGGACCUGAAGUCAUGAUGAUCAGCAAAGUACAGGAACUGAGAGUCUGUGUUGAAGAAAGCCAUUGGAUCAAGACUUUCAGAGAUUGAACUGUCUUCGUAUUUAAAAAAGUGUCCACCUUAAAGCCAAGAUUAAGGUCUCGGGCAGGGCCGGAUUCAAAGGAUUCAGUGGAUACAUAUCAUUCUGGGCUGGUUGUGUGUUACAGAUAAAAGUUUAUUUGCCAUGAAGACAGUAGAUUUUUCUGGGCAGAACACACAGCCAGAAAAGAUGAGCAGAUAUUGAAUUUCCUUAUUGGUUUUGUUAGUUAAAAAAGAAAAUUGGAUUGGUUACACCCAUAUGGUAUUUUGCAUAAUGUAUUUAUAAUGUAAUUAUAUUUAUUAAUGAUAUAUGAAUAUUGCUAUUAAGGUUCAUAUUUACAGAUUAAAAAAAAAUCUUCAUUAAGUUAUCUUUCAAAGAAAAUCCCCAUGAAUAAUCUCAAAGUCAAAAAUGUGCUCAUGGAAACAAGUGAGAUAUUAUUUCACCCUUGUAUUUCUUCUCAUCCAUAUAUACACCUUUUUAAACAACAUGUGUCAUGUCUGCACUCAGCAGUGACGCGGAAACCAGAGGCUAAAAGCUCUGGAAUAAGAAACAGCCUGUGUUAGCAAAUAGCCCUGAAACUAGUACAAAGGGAGAGUGCUCCCAAAUGCAAACUUCUGCAUCAGAAUUGUGUGCUGCACCAUUAAUGGCCCUGAUCAGCAUUAACUGUGGCUCUGCUCUAAGGUGUAAACCUCAAAUGGCAAGGCAAACAAUGCCCUGAAGACUUCAUAACACUGAGAGGUCAACUGGUCAGCACAGCAAUAAAGGACACAUAGUAAGUUACAAAUACAGAGCAGUGAAACGUGACUGUGUUUCUUUUCGUCAGUCCUUUCCUUUACCAGAGGCAUCUAAAGGUAAUGCAAAAGCAAUUGAAAACAAAAUAAUCAAGAGAUCACUCUGGCAAUCUUGAGGUAAGAUCACUGUUUCCAAUUAUUUUCCUCACAGUAAAACUGGGACAAGGAGAGAGGGUUUGCAUAGGCUUUAUUUACCAGACCUGCUGUUCAAUACAGUCCUGGUGGAAGGAAUUAUUGCUAGCAGAGCAUAUCACAGCCACCCAGCUAAGUACACCUAUGCUGCAAGUUCAGUACAUACCAAAUCAAGGACUGAAGAAGAGCCAAGCUACCUUUUCUGAUGAGCUGUAUUUUAUGCUCCUCAACUGCAAUCUACUAGCUCCACAGUCCAAAUUCCAGUAUGUACCAACAUUAUCUGCCAAGUGCUAGAAAAGUUUAGAACAGCUGAGGAAAAGCUCAAACAGUGAACAGCACUAGGUAUUAGUUACACAAGCCUGAUAUUCCUUCAUUGCUGAGCACCAAAAGAUCCCAGUUGUUGGCAGCCAGAGUUUUUUAUUUCUUUUCAUAGAAAAUGGUUGACAGUAAUUCUACCUACAGCUAAGCUGCUUCAGGAAUAAGUACCAAAAGGAGAUGAAUGGCACACAGACUUCGAGCUGGAAGCUGAGGUGAGCUAUAUAGAACAGAAAGAAGAUAUUGAAGGUCAUGCUCUAUGGUUAUCAGUACACUUUCUGAAUAGCAACACAGAAAUAGAAAAAAUCAUUUGAAAUCAAGAUUUCUUUAAAACAGGAAAGAGGAACAGUGAGGCACUUUUAUAUCUUGGUAUCACUCUAAUAAAUUCUACUGCAACAUACAAAAAGAAACAUUAAGAUGCAAUUCUACUUUGAAUGUAUGCAUAUAAUUGGCUCAAAUAUUAUCCAUAGUAAAACCAAGAGGAAACACUGACAUUAGUAUGACCAAUAUUUCAUACAGCAUGUGCUAAAUAGGUAACAUACUCACUUGACCAAAUAUGUAUGUGAAUAUUGUAACAUCACAGUGAAUUCUUGCAUAUUAAUCUUAUAUUGUUGAAUCCUUGCAUAUUAAUCUUAUAUUGUUAUCCUUCUAGGUUUUUUGUUUGUUUGUUUGUUUGUUUUUGUGGGUUUUCCUUUUGUGUUUUUGUUAGUUUUCUGUUCUUUUUUUAUUAUUAUUAUUCUUAAGAUCAUGCCAUUUCUCAUUACCAGAAAUUUGAAUACUCUUAUGAUUUUGAUUAAAAUCUUCUUAGAAGAAAUAAAUAGGAUGCAGUAGGCUGAAGAACUAUAGAAACUAGUGUUCAUUAUUUUUCUUGCUUUGUAUUCUGAUAAGGUGAUUGAAUGACCCCAAAGCUGAAAUGCCAUAAUUGGUUGACAAAAAGAGGCAAUAAUUAAGGAGUAUCUACCUCCCAUUUACCCAGGAAGGGGACAAAGAAUAUAUUCUUUUCUCAUAUGCAACAUGUCAAUGUCAUAUAUUUCAAAUAUCAGUUGUAUCUCUUUCAUUAGUAUUUAUACCUUUUUACAGCACUGAAUUCACUAGAAACCUAGAUCCUUUUAUUACCGUACUGCAGCUCUUAAAGUCUUACUUUUAUAUAUGCUCAGGUCCUUCAACAUUAUUAUAUUUCUGUUGCCGUAUUCCUUCCAUCCAGUAGACACAGGUGCAGUGUUUUUAAUCAGUGUUUACCAUUGCAGCACCCGUAAAAAAACCACUAAUUGUGCAUAUAAAAAUAUCUGAUUAAGAAUUACAGAAAACUUGUCUUUUACAAAACGUAAUUUUGUGAGUGAGUGAUUAAAGUGAAGAUAUUAUUAGCUGUGUGAGAAAAUAUUUAUCUUUCUAUUUCAUGUGAGUAUUCUCAUCCUAUUGUAAUUUCCAAAUGAUAUGGCAUAGGACUUCCAUUGCUGCCAUUAAUGAUUUACCUGUUUUAAACUGAAAAACUAUGACUGCUUCAUUUGUUAGAUUACAUAGGUGCAACAUCUGUGGCCAGUCUGUCUGCAUAAAUGAAAUAUAUUUUCUGAUAUUAUGUCAUAUUUUGCCUUCAUAACUGAAGCUGAAUGAAAGACAGAAAACGGCCCCAAUGCCUCCAAGCUUUGGAGCAUACAAACAGAUUGAGAAGGGUAUCAUCUGCACGUGUUACUGCAGCAGCCUUCUCUUUGUUUUCAAACUCAACUCGGAUUCAUUCCAAAAUAUCCAAGUCCAAACCUAAUUUCUGGCACGACCUGCAGGAUCAAAUAUGUCUCCUUGGCAUUCACUUGCUAUGAGAAAGCCUCAAAAGGACAAUGAAUGACAGCCAAACUGAUUAUCAGUUUCAGUGAGUGAAGGUCAGCAAGUGUAACAUCUGCCUUGCUGGUGCUUGCCUACAUAUUCAUGUGCAACUUUCUGCUCAUCCAGAGGUCACAAAAACUCACAGAAUGAACAAGAUCCCAGAGGAUACCUCUGUUUCCUUAGACACAGUGACAGAUUUUUCUCUUACAUUUGGGUAAGGGAAUUUUUGGUAAAUAUGACUGACAGAAGUAGCUGCAUGGGUCAAAAUCACCCCUUGGAUAUUUUUAAAAUUUGAUUAUACAAAGAUCAGGAAGAGAAGAAUGGCCAACAAGGCACAGGAAUAUUUAUUCUAUCCUUUACAGUAUAUGCUGACUCAUUAAGCUAAGGAAAAAGUGCUGAUAUUUUCACAGAACCUUUCCCAUUGAACAAAAACAAACAAAUGAAAAAAAAAUGCUGUCUCAUCAUGUAAUGUAAAUUAAUAUAACUCUGAUUAACUUUGAGUAUCUGUCCAUCAGUCUAUAUAAAAUCACAUCUUCAGAAUGUCAGCCAUGCAGUUGAGUGAGUAAUGUCCAAAAUAAAUCUGAAAUGCUAUUGAAAGUGCACUGUUUCUUCUCCCACGAUAUAGGGGAGUGAUCUUGUCAUACCAUGAACAACUUUAAAAAAUGCUCAUGAAGUGCAAAUUAUUUUUUUAAUCAAAUAUUACACUAUUUGGAUGAGUCCAGUGCUAAAUUUUAAAUCCUGAAAGGAUAACUAAGGGUUCAGAGAUAACAACCUCUACAGAGGUCAGAUUCAUUGCUCUGGAAAUCUGGAACCUUGGGAGUUGUAGGAAUAAAAUCAUAGAAAGAAGGAAAGAAGGAAGGAAGGAAGGAAGGAAGGAAGGAAGGAAGGAAGGAAGGAAGGAAGGAAGGAAGGAAGGAAGGAAGGAAGGAAGGAAGGAAGGAAGGAAGGAAGGAAGGAAGGAAGGAAGGAACAACAGAAUUAGAUAUUUUUGCACCUGACACCCAUUAGAUUUAUGUUUUGAUCAUUUUAGUUUCAAAAAAUAUUUUUUUGUUUGUUUGUUUGGAACAACAUUCUGGAAGUUAUCUAAAGAAUACUCCCUUUCAUAAACCAAAUAGAAAUAACUCAGUGCAUCUGCCUCCAAGUAACCUCAAGUAAAUCAGUUGUCAUGAUACAGGAAACCAGAUGUGAAUUCCAACAUCGUAGCAGUGGAGCUGAAGUGGCUGAGGUGGAACUGCUCUCUAAUGGGUACAUUUUCCAUCAUACAGUUGCAAAACCGUUGCAUACUUGCACAGACUCCUCAGCACCCUAACAGUGACAAAUAUCACCAAGAAAGGUGACCAUUGCAAAGAGCAAAAAAGACUACGGGUUUCUCACUACAUGUAUUCUAACAGUCUUCAUCUUCCUAGAUCUAUUGUUCUCAUUUUUGUUUUUGUUUUCCCAUGUUUUCUCAGUAUUUAUACUAAACAACAAAACUAAGAAAAAAUGUUGAUCAUCAACACAGGAUAUAAAUGUUUAAGACUCUUGAUGUUUAUUCUACAAGCACUGAGACUAAGUCACACUUGUUAACUAAAAUUGAAUGUUUAACAGCUAGAAAAACUUCAUAUUUCAAUUUGACAUUUUAAGUGAAACACAGAAGUACAUGUAAGUGCAAUUAGAGUGUUAUAAAAAAAAAAAAAAAACACCUGUGAAAGGCAGAAACAAAAGAAGGCAUUAGUGUGUAAAGUAAUUCUAGUAGGUAGGUUGGAAAAAUUAGUUUCAUAGCAAUGACUUAAUUCAACAUGUGCCUGAGGCAACAGCAAAAAAGGUUAAAUUUCCUUUCUCAAUCAAAUUUUAUAUUCUUGCAGAAGAUGUUAUUUCAUAUUCUUGUGUUAUAUUAAUUAAACACAACAGAACCAGGAGAUAUCAAGACCCGCUAUUAGUACAAGCUGGGGAAUGUAUGGAUGGAGUACAGCCCCUCCGAAAAAGACUUGGGAGUACUGGUGAAAGGGAAACCAGACAUAAGCUAGCAACUUGCUCUUGAAGCCCGGUAUGCCAACUGUAUGCUGGGCUGCAUCAAAAGAAAUGUGGCCAGCAGGUCAAGGGAGGUCAUCCUGCCCCUCUGCUCUACACUGGUGAGACCUCACCUGGAGCUCUGAAUCUAGAUGUGGAGUCCUCAGUACAAGAGAGACACAGAUCUGUUGGAGCAGGUCCAGAGAAGGAUCACAAAAAUAAUCCAAGGGAUGGAACACCCCCACUAUGAGGAUAGGCUGAGAGAGCUGGGACCGUUCAGCCUGGAGAAGAGAAGGCUCCAGGGAGACCUGAUAGCAGCCUUUCAGUACCUAAACGAGAAUUAUAAGAAAGGAGACAGACUAUUUAGCAAGGACUGUUGUGGUAGGACAAGGGGAAAUAGUUUCAAAGUAAAAGAGGGAAGAUUUAAUUUGGACAUAAGGAAGAAAUUUUUUACAAUAAGGUUGGUGAGGCACUGGCACAGGUUGCCUAGAGAGGCAGUGGAUGCCCUUUUCCUGGAGACAUCCAAGGUUGGGCUGGACAGGGCUCUGAGUAAUCUGAUCAAGUUGUAGGUGUCCCUGUUCAUUGCAGGGGAGUUGGACUGGGUGGCCUUUUAUUGUCCCUUCCAGCUCAAAUGGUUCCGUGAUUCUAUGAUUCUACGAGACACCAGCACAAGGUUAUAUCUCCAUCUGCUGUAGACAGACCACGAAACUCAUUGCAAGAGAUAUUCAUUCCAUAAAAUCAGAGUAUGCAAAACAGAAUUUCUUUUCUUUCUUACCUCAGAUAAUUUCACUCAUAUACUGUACAUCUUCCAAAUGCUCUGAUUUAAACUAUGAACUUAAUACAUUAAACACAGGUGUAGCUCUCCAUUCACAAUGUCCUUGCCACCAUCUGUGUUUUAAGAAAAUUUUAAUUCCAGGCGAAAACAUUUUUGUUCUUCAUUCACAGUAAAUUACUGUAUGAAUAGCAUGAGGGGUGUAUUCCUUUAACCCUUAUCCUUCAAAUAAAUUGAGUAGUUUUUAUUAAUUAUUAAAUACUAUUUGUUAUUAAUGAACAUUCUCUUGUCAUUGUCCUGGACUACACAGUGUUUAUUAGAGGAAAAAAAACCAAACAAAAAAGAAGAACAAAAAAACCAAAACCAAAAACAAACCAACAACCGUCCCCCUCCCCCCCCCCCCCCCCAAAAAAAAAAAAACCUACCAUGAUUAACAUGGAUUUAUUUAUUAGGAUAAAUGGAUUUGUUUAUUAGGAUAAAUUCUAAUUAGACCUUAGAUGGCGUGUUCCACUGUUGUAACUGCAUAUAUAAACACAGCAUAAGAGAAAGACAUGUAACAUAAAUAAACUGAAGAAAACAAUUGCCAAGGAAAUUACCAAGUCUCAUUUGAGCACGCUUUUUGUUCUUAUCUAGCCAGAGCCUUGUUCACAUGCUUAACCUGAAACAUUUCAGAGGAACUAGAGAGGUAAAUGGAAAUACACACUUACAUGCUAACAACUCAUGACAGAUGUAGGAUAUGAUGCGAGACUGUGUCUUUGUAUCAGAGGAAUGUAUGUUGUGUCCUCUUCAGAUCUGACUGAAAACUAAUUGAUUUAGUUCUCAGGUUCAUUUCACUGAAUAACAUUUUCAGAAAUAUUGUCUAAUUUUGAUCUUAAGUUAACGUGAUGUGAUGAAACACUUCUACUUUGAGCUAAAUAAUGUAUAAGAAAAAGUGACUCUAUGCUAAGUUUCCUAUUAAAUCUAGAAGUCUCUAGUUGAGUCAUUUAUGUGCAGUUCGUGAGGUCAAACAAUUUACUUUCUUAUGGUUAAUUAUAACUUUUGAGGGAAACUAAAAGGCCUUCAUAUUGUGUUUCUGCAAAUAAUUACCAUUAAUGUGAUUAAAUUCAUGUUUAAUACUUAUCUAAAUUAGCUCAUUAGCUUGUAUGGAUGUUUGAAAACCUCCAAAGACUGAAAAAUAUUCAGCUUUCAUUACAUUCUUGAUACUGAUCUCUCAGACUGUGGAUAUCAUAUUCAUUACUCUCUGUAUACAUAGUACUAUAUGGAAUAUCACUUGUUUCAUAGCAAUUAUUAUGCAAAUCCCAAGAUCUACUUGCUUGACACUCCCCAGUGACAAUGAAAUCUUGUUUGGCUUAAAUAAUCAUUUGGGAGCCAUUUACACUGUGACUGACUAUUACAGGUUGUAUAUAGUGGGAACUGUAUUUUCUUACAUUAGAAAGUAAUAUGAAAAAGAAAACAUCAACAGAACAAUAUUUCUGUUUCCCUGCGACUAAAAUACUGGUGCCUAGGUCCUUUUUUUCCUGGAGUUUAAGUUACUAGAUUAAAAGAAAAAAAGAAAAAGCAAUGCCAGAUUGGUCUGUAUUACUCUUGUUAAUGCUACCUAUAUUUCUUGUACUGGGAAGCUUUUCAUGGACUGAUUUCAAUUAUGCUACUCAAAGAGGUAAGCACUUCUCAUAAGAAGUACAUAGCUUUGUUCUUGUUAUCAUUCCUCUUCGCUAAAGAAAGUAGAAGAAAACAGUAAAUGAGAAAUCUUUCAAAGUAAUUUAAUUGAUAAAGCAACUUAUGUCUUACAGAAAACAGUAAAUGCAUAUUUAUACAUUGUUAUAUCAUUUAACUUUUUACAAAGAUGCAUAAAUAUAUACCUAUAUAACAUUACAAUGAUUGAAGAGAUGGAAAACAUUUUCUCUCAAUGCAACAACAUAGCUUUUUUAUUAACUAGAACUCUGAAUAAAAUCUGAUUUUUAUAAUCAGUAGGACCAAAAUCUCAGUUGUCUAUGAGAUUCAUCAUUAAUCCUGAUUUCUUUGGAGCAGUUAGAAUUUUAUUUUAUGUUCAGCUUUUGUAACUCCAUUUCCUGGAAUACUGAGUACUAUUAAAAAAAAAAAAAAAAAAAGUAAAACCUUAAAAUUAUAAGACUUCCUGGCAUUCAUUGAAACCACAAAUUGAGAUUCAAUUAAGUAAAUUCCUGCUGACAAAGCAUCACAACAGGUUAAUAGAGGAAAGCUUUUUGCUCUUACUUCUCCAUAGUCUCAAGAACAUUAACUCCAUUAAUUGUGCUAGAUUAAAACAUACCUGUAAAAAAUAUUCACCAUUCAGAACUGCUGACAUGUUAGUUUAUUAGAUAAGCCUGCAAACUUUUAGCUACAUAUUGUAUGCUCAUUCUCCUCACUAUUUCUAAGAAACAUUUAUUUCAUAAACAAAUUUACUAACUAGUAGACACAUUCUUAUAGUGAAAAGAAUAGUUAAAUCACUUCCUCUCUGCUACCAUUUGCUUCCAAAUUCCAAAAUAUUUUCUUCAGCAUAGAUAUUGUAGGUUGUAUUUUUAUUUAGUAGUGAAUCAUUUCCGACCUUAAAUAAUUAAAAAAGAAAAACAACAACAAAAAAAAAAACACAUGCACACAAAACAAGCAAACAAAAAAACCCAACCCACAACCAUAGUUAAACAAAACAGAUUCUGUGAUCUGACACUCAUUAUCCUUCCAACCAUUGUAAUUCAAACAUCGUCCAUAUAAACAUAAAAAAAAAUCAACCAGUAUAUUAAUCAUCCAUCUGAAGCAAGCAAUUUGUCUUCCAUAUCUGUAAAUCUCAAAGCCAGGAUUUCUCCCCACUUUUGAUAAACCUCUUUCUGAAGUGGUCAGUAAAACCAAAGGUGUGUCGCCAGCACUUGACCUAAUUGAGUGGCUCCCCUCUGGCAAUCAGGAACACUCUCUUCUGCUGCUUUGAAAUGCCUCAAUUUAGAUGCAGGGGUUACUUCACGUGUUAGUGGAAUUCAUAGAACCAUAGAAUCACUCUCCACACAAUCCACAGGUUGGAAAAGACAUUAAAGACAAAUCCAACUAUGACCACCCCAUUCUACUCUAACAAACCUCUGCAAAAUCAUGUCUCUGAGCACCACAUCCAAAGAGUUUUUAAACACAUACAGGGAUGGUGACUCUACCACUUCCCUGGGGAGCCUAUUCCAAUGCUUAACAAGCCUUUCUGUAAAGUUUUUCCUAAUAUCCAGCCUAAACUUAUCCUAGUGCAACUUAAGGCCAUUUCCCCUCAUCCUGUCACCUGUCAACAGUGAGAAGUGGCCAACCCCGCUCUCGCUGUAAACACCUUUCAGAUAUUGGAAGAGAGGAAUUAAGUCUCCCCUCAGCCUCCUCUUCCCCAGACUAAACAGCCCCAGUUCCUUCACUCGCUCCUCAUAGGGCACACAAGAAGAUUUUAAAAAAAAAAAUCAAUUUAGUUGAUUUUUUAUUCACACCAAUAAUUUCUUUUUCCCUCCUUUCAAUAUAUAUUUUUAUAAAAUGUAAAGGCUAGAAUCUUCUGGUACUUCCCUGAAAAGGAAAAUUUCUAAUCUCAGAAGAAUGUUCCCAAGUAUUAUACCAUUCAUGGGACCCAAGUCUUUCCCUGAGAAUGGAGUCUAUCUGUAUUUUAUUUCGAGGUUUAAUUUUCAUUGUAGGCAGCUAGGCUAUGAUUUUUGCUUCCCCUCUUUUUGCUAUCUGUACAAUCAUGUGUAAAUUAGAAAUACUGCCGAUAUGUUAUUCUUCAAAUAAAUUAUUCCAAGCCAUUCCAUUUGUAUGGUUAUGUAGCCAGGAAAAUGCAUAAAUAAAAGUAAUGUAUUCCAUAAAGUCUAUAAAAUAUAUUGCUCUGACUCAGGGCUGCAGUUAUUUUUGGAUGCAAACAGAAAGACCUGUGUUUCACCCACACAUUGGUCAGGUUUCAUAAUGGCAAGCAAAAGCAUUAUAACACCACAACCCAAGCUCCAGGUGGGAGCCUUCCUCUGCCCUUACCUCCAACCAUAAGGCAUGUGUCCCCUGUGAUUCUCCUGCUGCAGGGGAUCCUGCAGCUCCCUGAGGUUGCCACCUGCUGUGGCUCAACAGGCUACAGACCAGAGUUUCCCACUGUCUCACUCCUUCAGCAUUUUUGCAAGAAGUAGCCUAAUCUUGAUCAUUUCUUGCCUAGAAUCCACUUGUGCCCUCACAUCUAAAUGCACCACACUGGCAAGACUCUGGGAAAGCAGAUUAUACGUUUAUUAGUGCAACACAAUUGAGGUUUCUGCUUCCUAGCCCUGUUUUUAAUCCAGCCCCAAAUCUUACUUCUCAAUCUAGAUCUCCCCAUCAUCUUCUAUGGACAAGGAUCAGGUACAGAAAUAAGCAUCUCACGCAGCUUUUCUACUAGAAAAGGCUAACAAAGUUGCCUAAAGGCUGGAAAAACAAUCACGUACAGUCAUAUCAGCUAUUUUUUAUUAAUCUACCAUAGCAAUUUUUAAAGAGUAAUAUUUGACUUCUUCUUGGCUGAGGUAUGUAUGUGGGUCACUCCAAAAGUAAUGCCUCCCAUGGAAAUUACAGUAGAUACAAAGAGCACAAUAACGCUAUUUGAUAAAGCAAAUUCUCAGAUACAAAAUGCUCCUUUUCAAUAUAGUUGCCACCAUUAUCUGCACAUUUUUGCCUGUGAUGAACGAGAGCCUGCAUGCUAUGCUCCUAAAUAUCUGCACCAGUGAAAGUGACCCACAGUCACAACCUCACUGUACUCACAUCCAUUGUUUGAUCUCCACAACCAUUCAGCAAGCGUCAAUGAAUGUCAAUGGGUACCAUCUUUUCCUGCUUGGAGGAAUUCAGUGACACACUUUUGUUCUAUAUACACUUCAAAGUCAGAAGCCAUUGUGUCAGACUCUCCCUCUUCUGCCAUCUCUCAUGCAGCAACAAAAUGUAAUGGAAUUCUGGUGGUUCAGUCCCUACUCCUAUACCAUUAACAUCACUUCUUGUGUCAUGAGUCAACAUAAUGAUAUAGAAGGCAUUACUUUCAGAACAACCCUUGUAUAUCAUAGUGACUGGGAGACUUAUUCUUAGUCUGUGUGAGGGGAUAAGAUUGACCAUCAUAUAUAUAUGAGGAAAUGUCAUAUAUGGCAUACGGAUUGAGCAUGUCAUGGAGACAGUGACAUGUACUAGAGAUGCUCAGUGUCUGCUGUGAAAUGCCAUGGAACUACAUGGAAACAUAGCUCAAAAUUACAUAUGAGAAACACAAAAUCUUUUAAUUCAUUUUAGAAAAUGACAUCUACACAAAAAUGUGUGCUUAUUUGAAAUGAUAUCUUUUUCUACAUUGUAUAACUGAAAUAUUUUGAAUACA
ensembl:lncRNA